rnacentral:tRNA from 1 species
GUAUUUUAGUGUAAAAUUGCAUAUAAAUUUUUGAAGUUUAAGGUUUUAAAAUUAAAUUAAAAAAUGCAGG